rnacentral:rRNA from 1 species
UACGUAGGGGGCAAGCGUUGUCCGGAAUCAUUGGGCGUAAAGCGCGUGUAGGCGGCUUGUUAAGUCCGCUCUGAAAGCCCGGGGCUCAACCCCGGGAGGCGGGUGGAUACUGUCAAGCUCGAGUCCGGAAGAGGCGAGUGGAAUUCCUGGUGUAGCGGUGGAAUGCGUAGAGAUCAGGAAGAACACCAAUUGCGAAGGCAGCUCGCUGGGACGUUACUGACGCUGAGACGCGAAAGCGUGGGGAGCAAACAGG